CAAAGUGCUCUCUGUGUCGGCCGGAGCUCCCCCGCUUUACUGGUGCUGAUCGGCCGUGUUCAGGCGCAGCACGUCGGCCGCUCAGUGUGAUUAAUCACCGCGUUAAACGGCGCAGCGGAGCGUCCCUGAGGCUGACCGGGACCCCGGGGCCAGCCGUGCCGCCCCGGGUCAGCAUCCACCGGUAGCAAAUGAAAGAGUGGAGAAAAGUCAUCAUCCGUCACAUCUGGUUUGCAUUAAGGCCGAGCCAGGCCUGAUGGCUCCUGCUGCUGGAGUGUCUGAGGCUUUGACGGCGGCUCUUGUGUCGUGCGGCGUUGGCGUCCGCGACGGUGCCAGGCGGCAUGUGUGGUCAACUGGGAGGCUGCAGGAGGAGCGAAGAAGAGGCCACGGGUCGAAGCAGAAGCCCCCCGUUUUGGUUCAAGUGCAAACGGAUGGAUGGAUGGAUGAUUCUUUAUUAAUCCUCAGGGACAUUCAAGUGUUCAGCAGCUUACAUACAAAAACAUCAAUAACAGAAAGACAGGACAAGCAGGACAGAGCUGCAAUUACAGCUCAGGAGAGAAGAAGACCAGCUGUGCAGGAGAAACUCAGGGCUGCAGACCGGAGUGGUGGGAAGUCAAAGAUGAGGGCGCCCCUCAGAGGUUCUCCAGCCACGCAUAGAUCCUACUCAUCAUGACAUCCAUGUCCAGAGCAGUGAUGACUUCGUUCUGCUUAAAACCAUCUUCACCAACUUCAGUCUCAUCUUGGGACUUGAAGAAGUCAUCCUGAUGGACCACGCAGCAGUUGGGCAGGUUCUUGAUCGGGCGGUUGCUGAGGCUGAUUUUCCCUCCAUUGGUUUUCCCUCCAUGUCGAUGAUGUACUUCAUGUUCUCGGAUUGGUCAAAGCUCGGAAAAAGGGUCAAAAACGUCAACAAAAACUGGGUCUGGAGUGAUGGACAUGGAAGAAAGCUGAAAAAGUGAAGGUUGGAGCAGGAAACGUCAUCUACUGGAGUCCUCCAUUGCACUUGAGUUUAGUGAGUAAGGUAAGAGCAGAAACGGAGCUGCCACUCAGACGCUGUUGUUCCACCCAGAGACGACCUCUUUCAGUUGUGGCUGCUACACAUACUGCCCUAGUUGAGGUUUCAGGUGGAAUAUUCCUUUUAACCAGCACCUCAGGUCUCUUUGAGGAUUUUGGAUGGAAUAUUCGGUUAAACCAACAUUUUAGGUGCAUGUCCAGGGAUUUUUGGUGGAAUGUUCCUUUAAGGUGGAUGUGUGAGGACCUUGUAGGUGGAAUACUUCCUGAAACCAACCUUUUAGGUCAACAUUCAAAGAUUUAAGGUGGAAUAUUCCUUUAAACCAACCUAAAUUUCAUGUUUUGAUCAUUAUCAAGUGAGAAACCUCAAUCCAGACUCCUCAUAAAGACAUUUGAGAUUUAUGCUGCUGUUAUUUGUUUAGUCCAGACGAAAUGACAGAAAUCCACAACUGUAAUUUUAUUUCAGGACUCGGUUAUUAAAUGUCAAAACAAUCCAUGUGACUAAAAACUCAACAGCUUUACAAACUCUAAGAUUAAACUCUCCACAAGGAUCCAAAAUAAGUUGGACUUCUACAUGAGAGUUUUAGUUAUUCUUCAUCUACUUCCUGAAAAGUUUGGUCACUAAAAAAGACAAAAACUAAUAUUUUCAGCUGAACUAAAGACAGACUUUGUGAUUUUUCUGCUCACAUGUUGUGUUGUAAACUUACUCUUUCAAAUAAAUAGCUGCCUAACCCACUGGAAA